AACGAACGCUGGCGGCAGGCCUAACACAUGCAAGUCGAGCGAGGACUUCGGUUCUAGCGGCGGACGGGUGAGUAACGCGUGGGAAUGUGCCCUUCUCUACGGAAUAGCCCUGGGAAACUGGGAGUAAUACCGUAUACGCCCUAUUGGGGAAAGAUUUAUCGGAGAAGGAUCAGCCCGCGUUGGAUUAGGUAGUUGGUGGGGUAAUGGCCUACCAAGCCGACGAUCCAUAGCUGGUUUGAGAGGAUGAUCAGCCACACUGGGACUGAGACACGGCCCAGACUCCUACGGGAGGCAGCAGUGGGGAAUCUUAGACAAUGGGGGCAACCCUGAUCUAGCCAUACCGCGUGAGUGAUGAAGGCCUUAGGGUUGUAAAGCUCUUUCAGCUGGGAAGAUAAUGACGGUACCAGCAGAAGAAGCCCCGGCUAACUCCGUG
rnacentral:rRNA from 1 species